UACACAGGGAGGUAGUGACAAGAAAUAACAAUACGGGGCUUAAAGUCUUGUAAUUGGAAUGAUGGGAAUUUAAACCUCUUCCAGAGUAUCAAUUGGAGGGCAAGUCUGGUGCCAGCAGCCGCGGUAAUUCCAGCUCCAAUAGCGUAUAUUAAAAUUGUUGCAGUUAAAAAGCUCGUAGUUGAAUUUCUGCUGCAUUGCUUGUGUCCCUCUGGGGUCUGUGCAUGUGGCUUUUUUCGGACGGAGUUUCUUUGUCUGAAUGUUUACUUUGAGAAAAUUAGAGUGCUCAAAGCAGGCUUUCGCCUUGAAUAGUUUAGCAUGGAAUAAUAAAGUAGGACUUUGGUUCUAUUUUGUUGGUUUUAGGUACCAAAGUAA
rnacentral:rRNA from 1 species